AAUGCUAUGAACUACUAUUACACCCUUUUUUUUAUUCCACACUCACAACUGCACCAAAACUAUUCUUCAUUCAAAUACCUUUUGUUCCAGAAAAUUUGUUCUUCAAUAUCAUAUUAUUCUCAUCAGAAUUAAAAAAAGUUAUUCUUCAAUCAUCUCAUCAGAAAUGUGUAUUUCAAAUUUUUUUUUUUGGUAAUCUGAAGGUGACCAGCACAAUCCACCUCGCCGUCUAAAGCUUAAUUCAACGCUAAUCAGACAUUAAAGGGAUUUUUAUGCGGAACCUGUUCUUUUGGAGCUUGAAGCCCUAUUAGAAAAAUUUGUGAUUCGACAGUGUCAAGUAUCAUUUUGCAUCACUGAGCAGCUUCUCCAUAGCUUCAAAGGGUCGUUGGCAAUUUUUCUUUGAGAAAUAUGGCUUUGAAGAGUAAACUAACAGCAUUCCUGACAUGGGUUAGUGGUACUAACCAUAAAUGUUCUGCGCAAUAGCUUCCUGAUUGGUUACAUGUACUCAAUAGAAUGACGGGCAUAAUUUCCAGCAGAAUUGCCAGGAUUUCCUUAUUGUUUGAUAGUCAAUGGUAAAGAUCGUGUUGCCAUCAUUCAACCUGCACUAACUCGGGUCAGAACGCUGGCAUUAGUCAAUGUUCUGUUCUCCAUUAUGGGCAUGCAGCUGCUCCAAAUGACCGGACCUUUAAAGACGGAGAUAUGGCAUUGUUAAAUAUGGGAGCCGAAUACAAUUUUUAUGGUUCUGACUUAAUAUGUUUCUUUCCCUGUCAAUGGAAAAUUUACCAGUGAUCAAAAGCUAAUUUACAAUGUAACAUUCUAUUCUUAAGGCUCAUGAUGAUGUCAUACACAAAAUGAACCUGGAGUAAACUGGGUGGACAUGCACAAAUUAACAGAGAAAACCAUUGUCGUUUCACUUAAGGAUGGUGGCAUCCUUAUUGGUGAUGUUAAUGAAAUGAUGACUGAAAGAAUAGGUGUUGUUUUUAUGCCUCAUGGUCUUGGGCAUUUAUUAGGGAUCGACACACAUGAUCCUGGAUUCCUAGUGGCUACCCUAAGGAAACAGAGAGGCCAAAGGAACAAGGAUUAAAAUCUUUGCGUAGAGCUAGGGAUCUCCAAAAGGGAAUGGUACUUACUAAUGAUUCUGCAUAUAUUGCCACGAGUCAAUAUAUUAUUACCACUUAUUUUAACUCGGGUACUUUUCCCCUCAUACUCGUGGGGAGCAUUAUUGAUACGACAAUACCACUAAACAAUGUUUAAGGAUGAAUAUGUGCAACGUUAAACUUUUUUCUCUAAUUUUCCCAAAAAAAUGGGUAUAUUUAUAUUUAUCGUUC